rnacentral:rRNA from 1 species
GAUGAACGCUGGCGGCGUGCCUGAUACAUGCAAGUCGAGCGAAUGGAUUGAGAGCUUGCUCCUAUGAAGUUAGCGGCGGACGGGUGAGUAACACGUGGGUAACCUGCCCAUAAGACUGGGAUAACUCCGGGAAACCGGGGCUAAUACCGGAUAACAUUUUGAACCGCAUGGUUCGAAAUUGAAAGGCGGCUUCGGCUGUCACUUAUGGAUGGGCCCGCGUCGCAUUAGCUAGUUGGUGAGGUAACGGCUCACCAAGGCAACGAUGCGUAGCCGACCUGAGAGGGUGAUCGGCCACACUGGGACUGAGACACGGCCCAGACUCCUACGGGAGGCAGCAGUAGGGAAUCUUCCGCAAUGGACGAAAGUCUGACGGAGCAACGCCGCGUGAGUGAUGAAGGCUUUCGGGUCGUAAAACUCUGUUGUUAGGGAAGAGCAAGUGCUAGUUGAAUAAGCUGGCACCUUGACGGUACCUAACCAGAAAGCCACGGCUAACUACGUGCCAGCCGCCGCGGUAA